AUUGAACGCUGGCGGCAGGCCUAACACAUGCAAGUCGAACGAGUGGCGGACGGGUGAGUAAUGUCUGGGAAACUGCCUGAUGGAGGGGGAUAACUACUGGAAACGGUAGCUAAUACCGCAUACCAUCGGAUGUGCCCAGAUGGGAUUAGCUAGUAGGUGGGGUAAAGGCUCACCUAGGCGACGACCCCUAGCUGGUCUGAGAGGAUGACCAGCCAAACUGGAACUGAGAAACGGUCCAGGAUCCUACGGGAUGCAGGAGGGGGGAAUAUUGCACAAUGGGGGGAAGCCUGAUGCAGCCAUGGCGCGUGUAUGAAGAAGGCCUUCGGGUUGUAAAGGACUUUCAGCGGGGAGGCGUUACCCGCAGAAGAAGCACCGGCUAACUCCGUGCCAGGAGCCGCGGGAAUUC
rnacentral:rRNA from 1 species